UGUCAGGCCUCUGAGCCCAAGCCAAGCCAUCGCAUCCCCUCUGACCUGCAUGUAUACGCCCAGAUGGCCUGAAGUAACUAAAGAAUCACAAAAGAAGUGAAUAUGCCCUGCCCCACUUUAACUGAUGACAUUCCACCACAAAAGAAGUGUAAAUGGCCAGUCCUUGCCUUAACUGAUGACAUUACCUUGUGAAAGUCCUUUUCCUGGCUCAUCCUGGCUCAAAAAGCACCCCCACUGAGCACCUUGCGACCCCCGCUCCUACCCGCCAGAGAACAAACCCCCUUUGACUGUAAUUUUCCUUUACCUACCCAAAUCCUAUAAAACGGCCCCACCCUUAUCUCCCUUCCCUGACUCUCUUUUCGGACUCAGCCCGCCUGCACCCAGGUGAAAUAAACAGCCUUGUUGCUCACACAAAGCCUGCUUGGUGGUCUCUUCACACAGACGCGCAUGAAAUUUGGUGCCGUGACUCGGAUCGGGGGACCUCCCUUGGGUGAUCAAUCCCCUGUCCUCCUGCUCUUUGCUCCGUGAGAAAGAUCCACCUACGACCUCACGUCCUCAGACCAACCAGCCCAAGAAACAUCUCACCAAUUUCAAAUCCGGUAAGCGGCCUCUUUUUACUCUCUUCUCCAACCUCCCUCACUAUCCCUCAACCUCUUUCUCCUUUCAAUCUUGGCGCCAAACUUCAAUCUCUCCCUUCUCUUAAUUACAAUUCAUUUUCUGGUAGAGACAAAAGAGACAUGUUUUAUCCGUGAACCCAAAACUCCGGCGCCAGUCAUGGACUGGGAAGGCAGCCUUCCCUUGGUGUUUAAUCAUUGCAGGGACGCCUCUCUGAUUUCACCUUUCAGACCACGCAGGGACGCCUGCCUUGGUCCUUCACCCUUAGCGGCAAGUCCCGCUUUCCUGGGGCAGGGGCAAGUACCCCUCAACCCCUUCCCCUUCACCCUUAGCAGCAAGUCCCGCUUUCCUGGGGCAGGGGCAAGUACCCCUCAACCCCUUCCCCUUCACCCUUAGCAGCAAGUCCCGCUUUCCUGGGGCAGGGGUAAGUACCCCUCAACCUCUUCUCCUUCACCCUUAGCGGCAAGUCCUGCUUUUCUGGGGCAGGGGCAAGUACCCCUCAACCCCUUCUCCUUCACCCUUAGCAGCAAGUCCCGCUUUCCUAGGGGGCAAGAACCCCCCAGUCGCUUAUUUUCAUGCCCCAACUUCUUAUCUCUGCGCCCCAAUCACUUAUUUCCGUGCCCCAAUCCCUUAUUUCCAUGCCCCAACCCUUUCUCUGCUUUUCUGGAGGGAAAGAAACCCCCACCCCUUCUCCGUGUCUCUACUCUUUUCUCUGGGCUUGCCUCCUUCACUAUGGGCAAGCUUCCACCUUCCAUUCCUUUCUUCUCCCUUAGCCUGUAUUCUUAAGAACUUAAAAUCUCUUCAAUUCUCACCUGACCUAAAAUCUAAGCGUCUUAUUUUCUUCUGCAAUGCCACUUGACCCCAAUACAAACUCAACAGUAGUUCCAAAUAGCCAGAAAACGGCACUUUCAAUUUUUCCAUCCUGCAAGAUCUAAAUAAUUCUUGUCGUAAAAUGGGCAAAUGGUCCGAGGUGCCUGACGUCCAGGCAUUCUUUUACACAUCAGUCCCUUCCUAGUCUCUGUGCCCAGUGCAACUCGUCCCAAAUCUUCCUUCUUUCCCUCCCGCCUGUCCCCUCAAUACCAACCCCAAGAGUCGCUGAGUCUUUCUAAUCUUCCUUUUCUACAGACCUAUCUGACCUCUCCCCUCCUCGACACGCCGAGCUAGGUCCCAAUUCUUCCUCAGCCUCCACUCCUCCACCCUAUAAUCUUUUUAUUACCUCCCCUCCUCACACCUGCUCUGGCUUACAGUUUCAUUCCGUGACUAGCCCUCCCCAACCUGCCCAGCAAUUUAUUCUUAAAAAGGUGGCUGGAGCUAAACGCAUAGUCAAGGUUAAUGCUCCUUUUUCUUUAUCCCAAAUCAGAUAGUGUUUAGGCUCUUUUUCAUCAAAUAUAAAAAUCUAGCCCAGUUCAUGGCUCGUUUGGCAGCAACCCUAAGACACUUUACAGCCCUAGCCCCUAAAAGGUCAAAAGGCCAUAUUAUUCUCAAUAUACAUUUUAUUACCCAAUCUGCUCCGACAUUAAAUAAAACUCCAAAAACUGGAAUCUGGCCCUCAAGCCCCACAACAGGACUUAAUUAACCUCACCUUCAAGGUGUGUAAUAACAGAAAAAAGUUGCAAUUCCUUGCCUCCACUGUGAGACAAACCCCAGCCAUAUUUCCAGCACACAAGAACUUCCAGACGCCUGAACUGUAGCACCCAGACGUUCCUCCAGAACCUCCUCCCCCAGGAACCUGCUACACAUGCCGGAAAUCUGACCAUUGGGCCAAGGAACGCCCGCAGCCCGGGAUUCCUCCUAAGCCACGUCCCAUCUGUGUGGGACCCCACUGAAAAUCGGACUGUUCAACUCACCUGGCAGCCAGUCCCAGAGCUCCUGGAACUCUGGCCCAAGGCUCUCUGACUGACUCCUUCUUGGCUUACUGGCUGAAGACUGACGCUGCUUGAUCGCCUCAGAAGCCCCGUAGACCAUCACGGACGCCGAGCUUUAGGUAACUCACAGUGGAGGCCCGCCUGCACCCAGGUGAAAUAAACAGCCUUGUUGCUCACACAAAGCCUGUUUGGUGGUCUCUUCACACGGACGCGCAUGAAAGGGAAGACAUACAAAAACAAGGUAAAUAAGUAAACUACGUUGUAUGUUUGAUAAUGGUGAUGUUAAGGGUGGGGAAAGAAGACAGCAAAGAAGGAUAGGAAAUGGGAGGGGGCAAAUUCUAGAAACCGUAGUCAGGGAAGACCUCACUGAGAAGGUGAUAUUUGAAUUACACCUGAGAGAUGUGAGUAUCUGAGGGAAAGAUAUUCCAGGAAGGGCAAACGUUAAGUGCAAAGGCACUGAGUGGGAGUGUGCCUGGCAGGUUCAAUCUAUUGAACCAUGACACUGGGGAGGGAUGGUGGCUACUCUUGGCUUUGCUGGCUGGCCACUGGUGAAUGAGAGACGUAAUAAAGCAUUCAAAUUAAAGAUAUUAAUGCCUAGUCUUCAGGCACUUAGACAUCUGAUGUGGAGUCUGAAGUUGCAGUAACUUGAGAGAAGACCAUACAUAACUGGAUAGAUGAAUAGAUAGAUAAAUGGAUGAAUGGAAUUGCCUUAUGGCCAUACUGAGACACAGCAAAGCCAACUCGAAUCACGCAUGGGGUACCAUGGCAUAGGGGAAAGCACUCGAUGUCAUCUCAGCAACACAGCUGUGUGCCUGGGAUAAGUUUCCUUCCAGAGCUUUCAUUCUUCCACAGACUAGAUAAGAAUAACAUCCUUAAGUGGUUGGUACACCACAGGUUAAAUGUUCAAUGUUUGUUAUAUGCCAGGCUACGUGUAUUAACACGAAUUUACUUAAUCCUUACUAGCCUCUGAGGUAGGUACUACUGAGACAGCCAGGUGGGAAGGACUCCUUGGCAAAACUCCAACCAGCCUGUACACUGGGAGGAAUGUGCACUGGGAUGGAGCCACAGAAGUUUGUGUCCAGUUUGCAGCGGGGAGGAGCCUGGUCCCUCCUCUUCCUGUGAGGAACCUGGAAUUCAAUCUGUGAGGUGGGAAGAAGCAUGUACUAGCAGGACUAGUACCUGUUUCCCUUUUUUUGCCCAAUAAAUCCGAUUUUUCUUACUCUUCAAACUUCUGCAAGCCUAAACUUUCAUGGCCAUGUGACAAGGAUCCUGUCUUUAGCUGAGCUAAGGAAAAAUCUUCCAAGGCUAUCAUUAUCUUUAUUUUACAGGUAGGAAACUAAGGCACAGAGAGAUUAGCUAACUUGCCCCAGGUCACACAGCUACUAUCUGACAUAGCUGGGAUUUGAAUCCAGACCAUCAAGCUCUAGAAUCUACUCUCCAAUUUAGCACACAAUAUGGCCUUUCAGUAAUACAGGAAGAUCAGUAAGCAAAUGGAUAGGUGGUGGGGCUCCAAAAGUAUUAAUCUCCUCCUCCUGCCUCUACUUCCUCCAUCCCUUUUAGGGUUUCAGGGUCACAGGGGAGUCACCAGGGCUGUGAUCCUGAGGGUGAGUGCUCCUUACAUGUGGUGCCCCAGACACUUUCCUCAUGUUAGUCCUGGCCCUGGCAGCCACUCCUGCAACUCCGACUGCACACGUGCAAUUGAGUUAAUGAGCAGACGCAGCCCCUGACACUGUCACGUUAGUAGGUAGAAACACCUGGAAACUCCGCUAUCACACCACAAAGCUUUCCACGCAACCACUAUUCUACUGUCUUUAUCAAUAUAACUUACUAUUCCAGAAAAUGCUUGCCCAGGAAGGUAAAACUCGGAAAUAACCUCAUUGCUUAUUCCAGGAACUUCUUGAAAGACCCAUCAAUUCUUCAAUAGAAAGCAUAAAAGGACAAUUUACACCCUAAGACUGAACCCCUGACCUCAAAAUCUUUCCCUUGCUAUGUUCACCAACCUCAACAGAAAUAUUAGGAUUCUUACCUGAUCCUAGCCAAGCCCCCUCCCUCAUCUCCCAUUAAAAGGUCCAUCUUCAACCAAACUUCAGUCUCAAUAAAUAUCUGGAUAUUGUCCUUCCAACUCUGGGAAGCUGCUAAGACUCUGUCCUUACUGCAGAAGAAAAAACAGCCUUGUACCCUGGUCUUCUCAACAGGUUGUUCUGGAGAUGUUCUGGGGAGACUGCAUUAAACACAGCUUCGCACCAUUGAAUAAACUCAGCAACAAGCCAAUGCAUAAAAGUAAUCUAUGCUUGAGGUCACAGAAGCUUCAAGGUGAAAAAAAUAGAAUACUCUAGGGCCAUUGUUCACAAACUCAUUUGAAAACAUCCUGGAAAAAUUUUCCCAAACACAUGGAAAGAAAGAGAGGAAAAAAGAAGAUAUCUGAAUAAUGUGGACUAGAAUAAAGAGUUGCCAGGAGCUGUUUAUUUAAAAACAGUACUUUCUUCUCUGGCUGAGUCCCUGGUAUUCUCUGCUGCAAUCUGUAGCUGGAGAAUUUUGAAGAAUGCAAUUAAAUUCAAAUGGUUUGAUGAGUAAUAUCUUUUCUCUUCAUAUUUGUCUAAAACUUUUUUUUAUUGAAUAGCGAGAGUGAUGAAAGUGUUUUCCAUAAUAAUAACAAUGACAAGGGCCUGAUGAUGAACUACAAUUAGCUCAGUGAUUCAUCAGUUAGCAGUGAAAUUUUCAAUGCAUCCUGACAUUUAGAGCAUUUGGUUGUGAUUAACAGUCUUUGAAAUGUCACUGAAUUUUAUUUAAUUGGCUAAGAAAAAAUUUUAAAAGGUAAUCACUGCAAAGAUCACAUUCAUCGCCAAAAAUGAUAAUUGCAGUUGUCACAUGACAAGGUAGAUGCUAACUACUGUGGCAAACUGGCUCUGUGUUCUUACAGAAUCUAAUGAAUGCAGCAGAGAUCAAGAGCUUGAAGGGGCUUAGAAGUUUAUUUGAAUGCUCCUUUCAAAGCCAUUUGUAUCAACAACUGCAAGCCUUUAAGUCAUCUGAGCAAAUACCAAAACUGAAAUGCAGGCCAGAGAACAGGGAAACAGAAAUUCACUGCAGGGAAGACUUCCAAACAACGGACUCCACAGCUCAGAGAAGUCUACCCCUGCUCUGGCCACUAGGUUUUUGAGAUAAAAUGAGACAGAAUUUUCAAAUUGUGACAGGUCUUUUCAAUAUCACCACCUGGAAAGAGCCUGCUGAGAUGCAGAGACCCAAGCCCUAAGAAGGCACCUGCCCAGCAGCCUAGUCCUCUGUCCUCGCCGGCUGUGUCACUAAAACUAUUACUUUGCUGUCAACAGAGAUGUACUGUCCAAAACACGGACUCUUACAUAAAUGUUUACAUCCUGUAGCCAACAGCCCCUUGGAGCUCAUGAGGUGACCGGGCCUUUGGAUUUGUACUGAGGAAGUUGACUUGGCACCUUCUCUCCAGAUUUUUCUCUUCUCCUCUGCAGUCAUGACACUGGCUCAGGACUGAGAUCUAAACAGUCAUCUUCGUGGCAACAGGUAUUAUUGGUAAAAGAGAGUCCAGAAAUUAGGGCCUAGCCUUUCUUGAGAGGCCAGUAUAGCUGAGUAGUAAAAACUCAAGUUUUGGAGUCAGGCGUAACUAACCCACAAUCCAAGUUAUGAACUGUGGAGUGAAUGACUCACCUGCCUGGGCCUCUGCUUGCUCACCUGCAAAAUGACAACAGCCUGCCCUACAGAGCUGCCUGCAGACCAACAGCAGUAAGGCCUUGGGAGUCUCUGCUGGUCUCCCAGCUCCUGCUUGACGCCUCAAGGUGAUGUUGCUCCAUUUAGUGCCUGUUUGUUCUCAGACUAUCCCAUGCCUUCUUCCUGCAAACCACAGCUCUCAAGCUCCCCAACAGUUUGACAAGGAUCAUACAAAGGGGAAACGAAGCAAGUAAAGAAUCAAGGUAUUUCUAAGCAAUUUCUCUAAGCUCUCAGGGCAUAGGCAUUUUCUGGCCGUGACUGUGUCUCCUCCAUAGUUCCAGCUUCCACAGGACAGGUCCUUGCCUCCAUAGUCACAGUUCUUCUUGGGUAGCCUCCUCCACACUUCUGAAUGGCCCAUCUGAAUGGCCACAGUGACCCGGCUCUGAUGUCACCCCUCCUGCCUGUUGUACCCCCUGUCCUAGAGAGGAGAUGCCUCCUGCUGAUGCUAAUCUGUGGAUUGCUUCAUUCUCUGGUUUCUCAGCUUUUCCAUCCCUUAUGCCAUCAAUUGCCCGAAUUAAACUCCUACUAUUUAAAAUACCUAGAGUGGUUUUUAUUUCUCUGCUUCUUAACAUCUUCACUGCUAUCUCCCUAGUCCAAGUCACCAUUAUCUUUACCCAGAUAACUUAAUAGCCUCCCUGUUAUUGUCCUUGCCCUCCUAGGGUUGCUUCUAAAUACAGCAGCCAGAAAAAUGCUGUUGAGUUCAAGACCAUGUCAUUCUCUGCCUAGACCCUCCAAUGGCUUUCCACUCCACAGUCAAAGCCCUCAUUAGUGUCUCUAUGAUGCUACUCAAUUUGGCUCCUGCUGCUUCCACGGUCUCA